UCCUCUCUCAGACUGAUGGCCCUGUAUCGGCGCUUCUCUCGAGUAUAUGGCACCCUCCACCGCCAUGGUCGCCUCGCCGCCGCUGCCACUCUUUCCGGUCACUCCUCCGCCGGCAAAGCGUUUCCACAGCACCCGUCAAUUCCCUCAUUUUCCAACAGUUUAACCCCAUUUGAUCCCACAAAUUCCACGUACAAACACUUCAUUUGCACUCGUUUCUAUCCCGAAAACCAAACCCUAGUUCAAUUACUUCAUUAUUCAACCCUAGCAAGCCCUAAGAAGGAGAAUGAUGACAAGCAUAGUGGUAAGAAUAAUGGGCUGGAAGUAUUAUCAUGGAUUGAUUUGUAUUUACCCAAGAAAAUCCGGCCAUACGCCCGCCUUGCACGGCUGGAUAAGCCGAUAGGGACCUGGCUGUUAGCUUGGCCUUGUAUGUGGUCGAUUACAAUGGCGGCAGAAUCCGGAAGCCUUCCUGAUGUGAAAAUGAUGGCCCUUUUUGGUUGUGGAGCUUUACUAUUACGCGGCGCCGGCUGUACUAUUAAUGAUCUUCUUGACCGGGAUAUCGAUACCAAGGUAGAGCGGACAAGGUUGAGACCAGUUGCCAGUGGUGCUUUAACGCCAUUUCAAGGGCUUUGCUUUCUUGGUUUUCAACUGCUAUUAGGCCUUGGGAUUCUUCUUCAACUCAAUAAUUUCAGCCAGAUUUUAGGAGCUUCAUCCUUAUUAUUGGUCUUCUCGUAUCCCCUUAUGAAAAGGUUCACAUUUUGGCCUCAGGCAUAUCUUGGUUUAACAUUUAACUGGGGAGCACUACUUGGUUGGGCUGCUAUUCGAGGGAGUCUUGAUCCCGCAGUUGUGCUGCCGCUUUAUGCAUCUGGUGUAUUUUGGACACUUGUGUAUGAUACAAUUUAUGCACAUCAGGAUAAGGAUGAUGAUCUUAAAGUUGGUGUUAAAUCGACUGCCUUGAGGUUUGGGGAUUCAACAAAAGAGUGGCUUACUGGAUUUGGACUUGCAUGCAUUGGCAGUCUUGCCCUCAGUGGACUGAAUGCUGAAAUUGGAUGGCCAUACUAUGCAUUUUUAGCUGCUGCAUCGAGCCAUUUAGCUUGGCAGAUACGGACAGUUGAUUUGUCAUGUCGUGCAGAUUGCAACAAGAAAUUUGUAUCCAAUAAGUGGUUUGGCGCGAUUGUCUAUAGUGGCAUUCUAUUUGGACGACUCUUUUCUUAGUGGUUUGGUAUAAUUUCUUAACUGAAUUGUCAAUUAUGCAUAUAUACCUUAAGUCAAAUAGACUGCGAGGGCUGCUGAGUAAGAGUUUUUGCUUGGAUGGGAUGAAAAAAAUCACUGGCAAGGUGGUAGAGAUUCAGUAAUUUGCCUUGCACAAAUACGUUGGAUACAAGGAAGUGAGCUUCUACGUUCUUUUGUCAUCUUGCUCACCGGAAAUUUUGCCUAGAUUUUGCAAAUUUUAGUGUGCACUUCGUAUGGACAUGGUGCUUUUCAUCUGUGUGAUUUUAUAGCCUUGGAGUAAUUAUAGUUCCAUACACUGUUGUUGUAAGAUCUAUGUAUUAAUAGGAUGUGCAAAUGUGAAGGACAAUGUAACAGUUUGACAACAAACCCUCUCUGGAAAAGUCGAA